rnacentral:rRNA from 1 species
GAAGAAUCCAGAGAUGGAUUGGUGCCUUCGGGAACCGUGAGACAGGUGCUGCAUGGCUGUCGUCAGCUCGUGUUGUGAAAUGUUGGGUUAAGUCCCGCAACGAGCGCAACCCUUAUCCUUUGUUGCCAGCGGUCCGGCCGGGAACUCAAAGGAGACUGCCAGUGAUAAACUGGAGGAAGGUGGGGAUGACGUCAAGUCAUCAUGGCCCUUACGACCAGGGCUACACACGUGCUACAAUGGCGCAUACAAAGAGAAGCGACCUCGCGAGAGCAAGCGGACCUCAUAAAGUGCGUCGUAGUCCGGAUUGGAGUCUGCAACUCGACUCCAUGAAGUCGGAAUCGCUAGUAAUCGUGGAUCAGAAUGCCACGGUGAAUACGUUCCCGGGCCUUGUACACACCGCCCGUCACACCAUGGGAGUGGGUUGCAAAAGAAGUAGGUAGCUUAACCUUCGGGAGGGCGCUUACCACUUUGUGAUUCAUGACUGGGGUGAAGUCGUAACAAGGUAACCGUAGGGGAACCUGCGGUUGGAUCACCUCCUUACCUGAAAGAA